AUGGACUAAAUUAAAACUGUUCCAAAACAAUACAUCCAUCUACGAUAUCCUCUGGUGCUAAUAAUUUCACUUUUUUUUUUUCAUUCAAAUUUUUAUUUUUAUUUUCCAUUUCUCAAAAUUCCCAUUUCUUCUAUUGUUCUUCAUUGAAUCUGCAUUUUCUUUUAAAAAUUUUCCCCUAAUUUUCUUUUUCAAAAUGGAAAAUGAGCAAUUACUAUCAUAUUUAAGCCCUAGGAAAAAUUUAAGGCCACCCCCAGUUUUUCUCCCAUCAAUAUUCGAAUCACUAAAUUCACCAAAGCCGCCGCUACCACCAUCAUCAUCUUCAGAUACCAUUUUAAACCUUCAAGAAUCGCUUUUACUUCAAAAUCAACAAAAUUCACCAGCAGCACGAUCAGACCCAAAUCUCGCAUGGGGAAAAAUCAAUCUCCACCGAUGCAAAACGGCACCAGCAAUGGCGGUUUUAAUGGAUGCAAUCAACCCAUCAAUCCCUAAACCUAAAUUCGGAUCCGAAUCAAUUGUAAGACAAGCUUGUAUACUUUUAAUAUUGUAUUUAUCAUUGGGUGUUGCCAUAUAUUGGUUUAAUCGUCAUCAUUUCGUCGGUCCAAAAACGAAUCCUGUUGUCGAUGCAUUGUAUUUUUGUAUCGUCACAAUGUGCACUAUUGGGUUUGGUGAUAUUACCCCUAAUAGUAACGCUACUAAGUUAUUUUCGAUCUUAUUCGUGUUGGUCGGUUUCGGAUUUAUCGAUAUUUUGCUUAGCGGUAUGGUUAGUUAUGUACUCGAUUUACAAGAGAAUUAUUUGUUGAAAACGGUUCAACAUGAUGGUGACAAAAGAGAUUUAGCAACUAGUUAUAUCAUUGAUGUUAAGAAAGGGAGGAUGAGGAUUAGAUUGAAAGUUGGUUUAGCAUUAGGUGUUGUGGUACUUUGUAUUGGUAUUGGUGUUGGUGUUAUGCAUUAUGUUGAACAUCUUGAAUGGUUGGAUUCCUUUUAUCUUUCGGUUAUGUCGGUUACGACAGUCGGAUACGGUGAUCGGGCAUUUAAAACGAUGCCUGGUCGGCUUUUCGCUGCGAUUUGGUUGCUUGUAUCGACGGUUGCCGUUGCUCGAGCUUUUUUGUAUCUGGCUGAGGCUAGAGUUGAUAAGAGGCAUCGGAGGAUGGCUAAAUGGGUGCUUGGUCAAGACAUGACUGUCUCGCAAUUUCUCGCUGCCGAUAUAGACAACAACGGUUACGUAAGCAAAUCUGAGUUCGUGAUAUACAAACUCAAGGAACUGGGAAAGGUAUCGGAAAAAGACAUAAUGCAAAUCUCCCAAAAAUUUGACAGGCUUGAUUCCGGUAACUGCGGAAGGAUAUGCCUCGCCGAUCUUAAGGAUGGUCAUCAUUAGUAUACAACUAUGAUUUUUGAAGGUGCAAUAGGAAUACCAACAAGUAGAGAAAAAUAGUGGGUUCAUGUUUUUGUAUUCAAACGUUGAAAAAGUUUGGCCAAUGCAUCAUUCAACAACUUAAUUCAAGAUGCUUUGAAGGCGACAAGUCUACUAAUUGGUAGUAUAUGUAUGUGUAUAUAUAUAAAUGUGAGAGACAUAUUAACAUCGAUCUAAAACUUUUAUAAUAUUAAUAUUUUAACAAUUUAAUCAUUAAAUUAUAUCUAUCUUAUCGAUCUAAAA